rnacentral:rRNA from 1 species
GACGAACCGUGCGAACGUUGUUCGGAAUCACUGGGCUUAAAGGGCGCGUAGGCGGGCGGGCAAGUCAGAGGUGAAAGCCCACGGCUCAACCGUGGAAGUGCCCCUGAUACUGCUCGUCUGGAGGGGGAUAGGGGCGUGCGGAACUUCCGGUGGAGCGGUGAAAUGCGCAGAUAUCGGGAGGAACACCGGUGGCGAAGGCGGUUCUCUGGGCCUGUACUGACGCUGAGGAGCGAAAGCGUGGGGAGCGAACAGG